rnacentral:lncRNA from 1 species
GUUCAAACCCCACAUGCCUUUGUUGCUGUGGCCUACUGGAGCAUCCCUCCAAUCUUUCAGAGAUGAUUUUUAUGCUCUUUUGAGGUAGUCUAUUUCAUUCGGUGAGGGGGAGAGGAAGCAAUUCACGUCUAGAUUGCUGCCAUGUUUACCCAGAAGUCAUCAAUCAUGAGUUUUUGAAGACUAUGUCAAGCACAGCCAAGGCUCAGGUUUGAUGAACAGCCCUGAUUCCCUGAACUUCCAACUGAGCUUUUCAGCAUGAGUUUCAUUAGACAGACGUAGAUGGAGCCUGCUGUAACCCAGCUGCAAAUGAGCUUACAAACCAUCCAAACUGGAAACCUUUGAAUGUGAAUAAUUCAGCACCUUCUUGCUCAAAUCAAACCUUCCUGUUGGGUUUACCAGGUCACUCCAGGGCCCAGCUGCAGCCUCUGCCAGACAGGGGACCAGGAGAACUCUUUUUCACUCAAAACAAGAUGGAUGGCAUUUCUCUUCAUAUCAGGUCACAAUAAAGCUCCUUAAAGUAUCAUUUCCAUUUUAGCGUCCUUCACAUUUCCCUACUGUCUAUGUAAACACAUACUCUCCAUAAAGGCUGUGCAUUUUAAGGUACUUGAAUAAAGCCAUAGAAGAGGAAU